AUGGACUGGACUUGGAGAAUCCUCUUGCUGGUUGCAGUAGCUAUAGGCAGCCACUCCCAGGUCCAGCUGGUGCAAUCUGGAGCUGAUCUGAAGAAGCCUGGGUCAUCAGUGAAGGUCUCCUGCAAGGCUUCUGCAUACACCUUCACUAGCUACUAUAUGCACUGGGUGCGGCAGAUCCCUGGAAAUGGGUUUGAGUGGAUGGGGUUGAUUUAUCCAGGCAAUGGUAAUACAAACUAUGCACAGAAGUUCCAGGGCAGAGUCACCAUGACCAGGGAAACAUCCACAAACACAGCCUACAUGGAUCUAAGCAGUCUGAGAUCUGAGGACAUAGCCAUGUAUUAUUGUUCCUCAUGAGCACAAACAAGUGUUCUGGAAUACCCA